CCUACGGGAGGCAGCAGUGGGGGAUAUUGCACAAUGGGGGAAACCCUGAUGCAGCGACGCCGCGUGAGCGAUGAAGUAUUUCGGUAUGUAAAGCUCUAUCAGCAGGGAAGAAAAUGACGGUACCUGACUAAGAAGCCCCGGCUAACUACGCGCCAGCAGCCGCGGUACUACGUAGGGGGCAAGCGUUAUCCGGAUUUACUGGGUGUAAAGGGAGCGUAGGCGGUAAUGCAAGUCAGAAGUGAAAGCCCGGGGCUCAACUCCGGGACUGCUUUUGAAACUGUGUUGCUAGAUUGCAGGAGAGGUAA
rnacentral:rRNA from 1 species